UACGAAGGGGGCAAGCGUUGUUCGGAAUUACUGGGCGUAAAGGGCGCGCAGGCGGCCGAUCAAGUCAGAUGUGAAAGCCCCGGGCUCAACCUGGGAAUAGCAUUUGGGACUGGUCGGCUAGAGUUCGGGAGAGGAGAGUGGAAUUCCCAGUGUAGAGGUGAAAUUCGUAGAUAUUGGGAAGAACACCGGUGGCGAAGGCGGCUCUCUGGACCGAUACUGACGCUGAGGCGCGAAAGCGUGGGUAGCAAACAGG
rnacentral:rRNA from 1 species